UAAGUAAGUCAGAUAGUCGCAGAUAUUAGGCAGGGGAUGCACUUGGCGAGCACCGCAAUUUGGGUUCGCAGGCUCAAAAGGAUGAAGAGUGACACUGCUAGGCUCUUUCAUCAUCUUGCUUUUUAUCUGAGGAAAGUCGGAGCUCCUUAGGGCAGGAUGCUGGAUAACGUCCAGUGGGGGUGACCCCAAGGCUAGUGCCACAGAAACAAACCGCCCGGUUUUUAUGACCGGGUAAGGGUGGAACGGUGAGGUAAGAGCUCACCAGCGUUCAGGCGACUGAACGGCUAGGUAAACCCCAUCCGGAGCAAGACCAAAUAGGGAAACAUUGAAGUGGCCCGCUUCGUUUCCGGGUUAGGUCGCUAGAGGUAUCAGGCAACUGGUAUCCCAGAUAGAUGACUAUCAAAUACAGAACUCCGCUUAUAGAUUUGCUUGCUUU
rnacentral:RNase_P_RNA from 1 species